rnacentral:tRNA from 1 species
UCUACUAAGGGAGAACAGUCCCCCGUUGGUCUUAGGCACCAAAGCCCUUGGUGCAAAUCCAAGUAGUAGGA